AGAGUUGUAUCCUGGCUCAGAUUGAACGCUGGCGGCAUGCCUUACACAUGCAAGUCGAACGGCAGCGCGGGGCAACCUGGCGGCGAGUGGCGAACGGGUGAGUAAUAUAUCGGAACGUACCCUGGAGUGGGGGAUAACGUAGCGAAAGUUACGCUAAUACCGCAUACGAUCUAUGGAUGAAAGUGGGGGAUCGCAAGACCUCAUGCUCCUGGAGCGGCCGAUAUCUGAUUAGCUAGUUGGUAGGGUAAAAGCCUACCAAGGCAUCGAUCAGUAGCUGGUCUGAGAGGACGACCAGCCACACUGGAACUGAGACACGGUCCAGACUCCUACGGGAGGCAGCAGUGGGGAAUUUUGGACAAUGGGCGCAAGCCUGAUCCAGCAAUGCCGCGUGAGUGAAGAAGGCCUUCGGGUUGUAAAGCUCUUUUGUCAGGGAAGAAACGGGUUUUUCUAAUACAGAGAUCUAAUGACGGUACCUGAAGAAUAAGCACCGGCUAACUACGUGCCAGCAGCCGCGGUAAUACGUAGGGUGCGAGCGUUAAUCGGAAUUACUGGGCGUAAAGCGUGCGCAGGCGGUUAUGUAAGACAGAUGUGAAAUCCCCGGGCUCAACCUGGGAACUGCAUUAGUGACUGCAUAGCUGGAGUACGGCAGAGGGGGAUGGAAUUCCGCGUGUAGCAGUGAAAUGCGUAGAUAUGCGGAGGAACACCGAUGGCGAAG
rnacentral:rRNA from 1 species